rnacentral:rRNA from 1 species
AGGAGCUUGCUCUUCUGGAUGAGUUGCGAACGGGUGAGUAACGCGUAGGUAACCUGCCUGGUAGCGGGGGAUAACUAUUGGAAACGAUAGCUAAUACCGCAUAACAGUAGAUGUUGCAUGACAUUUGCUUAAAAGGUGCAAUUGCAUCACUACCAGAUGGACCUGCGUUGUAUUAGCUAGUUGGUGGGGUAACGGCUCACCAAGGCGACGAUACAUAGCCGACCUGAGAGGGUGAUCGGCCACACUGGGACUGAGACACGGCCCAGACUCCUACGGGAGGCAGCAGUAGGGAACCUUCGGCAAUGGACGGAAGUCUGACCGAGCAACGCCGCGUGAGUGAAGAAGGUUUUCGGAUCGUAAAGCUCUGUUGUAAGAGAAGAACGAGUGUGAGAGUGGAAAGUUCACACUGUGACGGUAUCUUACCAGAAAGGGACGGCUAACUACGUGCCAGCAGCCGCGGUAAUACGUAGGUCCCGAGCGUUGUCCGGAUUUAUUGGGCGUAAAGCGAGCGCAGGCGGUUAGAUAAGUCUGAAGUUAAAGGCUGUGGCUUAACCAUAGUACGCUUUGGAAACUGUUUAACUCGAGUGCAAGAGGGGAGAGUGGAAUUCCAUGUGUAGCGGUGAAAUGCGUAGAUAUAUGGAGGAACACCGGUGGCGAAAGCGGCUCUCUGGCUUGUAACUGACGCUGAGGCUCGAAAGCGUGGGGAGCAAACGGGAUUAGAUACCCUGGUAGUCCACGCCGUAAACGAUGAGUGCUAGGUGUUAGACCCUU